rnacentral:rRNA from 1 species
UACGUAGGGGGCUAGCGUUGUCCGGAAUCAUUGGGCGUAAAGAGCGUGUAGGCGGCGCGGUAAGUCCGCUGUAAAAGUCAAAGGCUCAACCUUUGAAUGUCAGUGGAUACUGCCGGGCUAGAGUCCGGAAGAGGCGAGUGGAACUCCUGGUGUAGCGGUGGAAUGCGCAGAUAUCAGGAAGAACACCAACGGCGAAGGCAGCUCGCUGGGACGGUACUGACGCUGAGACGCGAAAGCGUGGGGAGCGAACAGG